rnacentral:rRNA from 1 species
UGUUGUUGAAGUAGCUGGAAUAAGUAGUGUAGCGGUGAAAUGCAUAGAUAUUACUUAGAACACCAAUUGCGAAGGCAGGUUACUAAGCAACAACUGACGCUGAUGGACGAAAGCGUGGGGAGCGAACAGGAUUAGAUACCCUGGUAGUCCACGCCGUAAACGAUGCUAACUCGUUUUUGGAAUGUAAGUUUCAGAGACUAAGCGAAAGUGAUAAGUUAGCCACCUGGGGAGUACGAACGCAAGUUUGAAACUCAAAGGAAUUGACGGGGGCCCGCACAAGCGGUGGAUUAUGUGGUUUAAUUCGAUGAUACGCGAGGAACCUUACCAAGGCUUAAAUGGGAAAUGACAGGUUUAGAAAUAGACUUUUCUUCGGACAUUUUUCAAGGUGCUGCAUGGUUGUCGUCAGCUCGUGCCGUGAGGUGUUAGGUUAAGUCCUGCAACGAGCGCAACCCCUGUCACUAGUUGCCAUCAUUAAGUUGGGGACUCUAGUGAGACUGCCUACGCAAGUAGAGAGGAAGGUGGGGAUGACGUCAAAUCAUCACGGCCCUUACGCCUUGGGCCACACACGUAAUACAAUGGCCGGUACAGAGGGCAGCUACACUGCGAAGUGAUGCAAAUCUCGAAAGCCGGUCUCAGUUCGGAUUGGAGUCUGCAACUCGACUCUAUGAAGCUGGAAUCGCUAGUAAUCGCGCAUCAGCCAUGGCGCGGUGAAUACGUUCCCGGGCCUUGUACACACCGCCCGUCAAGCCAUGGAAGUCUGGGGUACCUGAAGUCGGUGACCGUAACAGGAGCUGCCUAGGUUAAACCAAUGUUU